rnacentral:rRNA from 1 species
UACGGGGGGGGCAAGCGUUGUUCGGAAUUACUGGGCGUAAAGGGCGCGUAGGCGGCCUGCUAAGUCGGAUGUGAAAUCCCUCGGCUCAACCGAGGAACUGCAUCCGAUACUGGCGGGCUUGAAUCCGGGAGAGGGAUGUGGAAUUCCAGGUGUAGCGGUGAAAUGCGUAGAUAUCUGGAGGAACACCGGUGGCGAAGGCGGCAUCCUGGACCGGUAUUGAUGCUGAGGCGCGAAAGCUAGGGGAGCAAACGGG